rnacentral:rRNA from 1 species
AAACUUAAAGGAAUUGACGGGGACCCGCACAAGCGGUGGAUGAUGUGGAUUAAUUCGAUGCAACGCGAAAAACCUUACCUACCCUUGACAUGUCUGGAAUGCCGAAGAGAUUUGGCAGUGCUCGCAAGAGAACCGGAACACAGGUGCUGCAUGGCUGUCGUCAGCUCGUGUCGUGAGAUGUUGGGUUAAGUCCCGCAACGAGCGCAACCCUUGUCAUUAGUUGCUACGAAAGGGCACUCUAAUGAGACUGCCGGUGACAAACCGGAGGAAGGUGGGGAUGACGUCAAGUCCUCAUGGCCCUUAUGGGUAGGGCUUCACACGUCAUACAAUGGUCGGGACAGAGGGUUGCCAACCCGCGAGGGGGAGCUAAUCCCAGAAACCCGAUCGUAGUCCGGAUCGCAGUCUGCAACUCGACUGCGUGAAGUCGGAAUCGCUAGUAAUCGCGGAUCAGCAUGUCGCGGUGAAUACGUUCCCGGGUCUUGUACACACCGCCCGU